rnacentral:rRNA from 1 species
CACGUAGGAGGCGAGCGUUGUCCGGAAUCAUUGGGCGUAAAGAGCGCGCAGGCGGCUUGGCAAGUCGGGUGUGAAAUCCCGGGGCUCAACCCCGUGACUGCAUCCGAUACUGUCAGGCUAGAAGUAGGUAGGGGAGAUCGGAAUUCCUGGUGUAGCGGUGAAAUGCGCAGAUAUCAGGAGGAACACCGGUGGCGAAGGCGGAUCUCUGGGCCUUACCUGACGCUCAGGCGCGAAAGCUAGGGGAGCGAACGGG